UUCAUACUCCUUCCGUUCAAAAAAACUUGUCCCUCAAAUGGAUGUAUGUAGCAUUAAGUUAAUGCUAAAUACAUCUAUUUAACAGACAAGGUUGAGACAAGUUUUUUCGGACGGAGGGAGUAUAUA
rfam:Triticum aestivum genome assembly, contig: Triticum_aestivum_CS42_TGACv1_scaffold_031520_1BL